rnacentral:rRNA from 1 species
GUCUCAGGGCUUAAUUUGACUCAACGCGGGAAAACUCACCCGGCCCGGACACAGUAAGGAUUGACAGAUUGAGAGCUCUUUCUUGAUUCUGUGGGUGGUGGUGCAUGGCCGUUCUUAGUUGGUGGAGCGAUUUGUCUGGUUAAUUCCGAUAACGAACGAGACUCUGGCUUGCUAAAUAGUUGCGCCACCCGCCGCGGUGGGCGACAACUUCUUAGAGGGACUAGUGGCGUUUAGCCACGCGAGAUUGAGCAAUAA